UGAUUCAGGUAGUUCUUCCAC
rnacentral:siRNA from 1 species